rnacentral:misc_RNA from 1 species
GAUGAAGAACGUAGCGAAAUGCGAUAAGUAAUGUGAAUUGCAGAAUUCAGUGAAUCAUCGAAUCUUUGAACGCACAUUGCGCCCUCUGGUAUUCCGGGGGGCAUGCCUGUUCGAGCGUCAUUAUAACCACUCAAGCUCUCGCUUGGUAUUGGGGUUCGCGGUUCCGCGGCCCCUAAAAUCAGUGGCGGUGCCUGUCGGCUCUACGCGUAGUAAUACUCCUCGCGAUUGAGUCCGGUAGGUCUACUUGCCAGCAACCCCCAAUUUUUACGGGUUGACCUCGGAUCAGGUAGGGAUACCCGCUGAACUUAAGCAUAUCAAUAAGCGGAGGA